rnacentral:rRNA from 1 species
AUGGCUCUGCGAGCGGCCGCCGCGAGGCUGGCGUCCUCCAGCCUCCGCCGCCGCCACGGCCACCUCCUGCCGGCGGCCGCCACCGCCAGCCAAUCGGCCUUCCUCCACUCCCACGCCACAAGCUUCGGAUUCAAGCAGGUGCGCGAGGACGAGAAGAGCAAGCUGGUCGGCAACGUAUUCAGCAGCGUCGCCUCCAGCUACGACGUCAUGAACGACCUCAUGAGCGCUGGGCUGCACAGGCUCUGGAAGGACAGGCUGAUCUCAAAGCUGAAUCCUUUUCCCGGGAUGAAGCACCUCGACGUGGCCGGUGGGACAGGGGAUGUUGCGUUCCGUGUAGUCGAAAGAAUUAAGAGUGUGAGCCACAGAGCUACGCAGGGUACUCUUACUGAUAUGGAAGAAGACACUCACAUUUAUGUUUGUGACAUUAAUCCAAAUAUGCUAGAUGUUGGAAAGAAGCGUGCUACCGAAAAAGGCUACAAUGAAGAGCAGUGCCUUAGUUGGGUACAGGGAGAUGCAGAAGCUCUUUCUUUUGAGGAUGGGUCUAUGGAUGGCUAUACUAUUGCAUUCGGGAUCAGAAAUGUUACACACAUUGAGAAAGCUCUAUCAGAAGCUUACAGAGUUCUAAAGAAAGGAGGAAGGUUCCUAUGCUUGGAGUUGAGUCAUGUAGAUGUUCCAGUUUUUAAAGACAUUUACGACAUCUAUUCAUUUUCUGUGAUUCCGGCUGUGGGAGAGCUAGUUGCUGGUGAUAGGCAGUCGUACCAAUACUUGGUCGAGAGCAUUCGUCGGUUUCCAAAACAGGAAAAGUUUGCUCAGAUGAUCCAGGAAGCUGGAUUUGAAGCGGUCGAAUAUGAAAAUCUGGUGGGCGGUGUAGUUGCCAUUCACUCUGGAGUGAAACUGUAG